rnacentral:lncRNA from 1 species
UUUAAUUUUUCUUUCUUCUUUUAAGAACACAUUAUAAAAAGAAUACUUUCUUGGUUGGUUGGGCUUUUAAUCCUGUGUGCGAUUACUAGUAGGAACAUGAGAUGUGACAUUCUAAAUCUUGGGAGAAAAAAAAUGAGAAGAAAAAAAUAUUUACGCAGGAGUAGCACUCACUGAAUAGUUUUAAAUGACUGAGUGGUGUGCUUACAAUUGUCGUGUCUAGAUUUAAAUUUUAAGUCUGAGAUUUUAAAUGUUUUUGAGCUUAGAAAACCUAGUUGGAUGCCAUUUGGUCAUUAAUACCAUGACAACUUGCUUAUAAAUAUUCCAUUGCUCUGUAGUUCAAAUCUAUUAGCUUUGUGAAAGUUCAUCACUGUGAU